rnacentral:rRNA from 1 species
GUGAAGUGAUCGAACGAGGUUCCAGGAAAAGCCACUAAGCUUCAGCUGCACACGACCGUACCGCAAACCGACACUGGUGCGCGAGAUGAGUAUUCUAAGGCGCUUGAGAGAACUCGGGAGAAGGAACUCGGCAAAUUGACACCGUAACUUCGGAAGAAGGUGUGCCCUAUUAGUGUGAAGCGAACAGCGGAGCAUGAACGGGUUGCAAAGAAUCGGUGGCUGCGACUGUUUAUUAAAAACACAGCACUCUGCAAACACGAAAGUGGACGUAUAGGGUGUGACGCCUGCCCGGUGCUGGAAGAUUAAAUGAUGGGGUGCAAGCUCUUGAUUGAAGUCCCAGUAAACGGCGGCCGUAACAAUAACGGUCCUAAGGUAGCGAAAUUCCUUGUCGGGUAAGUUCCGACCUGCACGAAUGGCGUAACGAUGGCCACACUGUCUCCUCCCGAGACUCAGCGAAGUUGAAAUGUUUGUGAUGAUGCAAUCUCCCCGCGGAAAGACGGAAAGACCCCAUGAACCUUUACUGUAGCUUUGUAUUGGACUUUGAACAGAUCUGUGUAGGAUAGGUGGGAGGCUUUGAAGCAGGGUCGCUAGAUCUUGUGGAGCCAACGUUGAAAUACCACCCUGGUGUGUUUGAGGUUCUAACCUAGGUCCAUUAUCUGGAUCGGGGACCGUGCAUGGUAGGCAGUUUGACUGGGGCGGUCUCCUCCCAAAGCGUAACGGAGGAGUUCGAAGGUACGCUAGUUACGGUCGGACAUCGUGACGAUAGUGCAAUGGCAUAAGCGUGCUUAACUGCGAGACUGACAAGUCAAGCAGAUGCGAAAGCAGGACAUAGUGAUCCGGUGGUUCUGUAUGGAAGGGCCAUCGCUCAACGGAUAAAAGGUACUCUGGGGAUAACAGGCUGAUACCGCCCAAGAGUUCAUAUCGACGGCGGUGUUUGGCACCUCGAUGUCGGCUCAUCUCAUCCUGGGGCUGUAGCCGGUCCCAAGGGUAUGGCUGUUCGCCAUUUAAAGAGGUACGUGAGCUGGGUUUAAAACGUCGUGAGACAGUUUGGUCCCUAUCUUCCGUGGGCGCUGCAGAUUUGAGGAAGCCUGCUCCUAGUACGAGAGGACCGGGGUGGACACACCUCUGGUGUAUCGGUUGUCACGCCAGUGGCAUUGCCGAGUAGCUAUGUGUGGAAGAGAUAAACGCUGAAAGCAUCUAAGCGUGAAACUCGUUUCAAGAUGAGAUCUGCCGGGGCCUUGAGCCCCCUGAAGAGUCGUUCGAGACCAGGACGUUGAUAGGCAGGGUGUGGAAGCGCAGUAAUGCGUUAAGCUAACCUGUAUUAAUUGCUCGUGUGGCUUGACCAG